AGCGAACGCUGGCGGCAGGCCUAACACAUGCAAGUCGAGCGCCCCGCAAGGGGAGCGGCAGACGGGAGAGUAACACGUGGGAACGUACCCUUUGGUUCGGAACAACCCAGGGAAACUUGGGCUAAUACCGGAUAAGCCCUUACGGGGAAAGAUUCAUCGCCGAAGGAUCGGCCCGCGUCUGAUUAGCUAGUUGGAGGGGUAACGGCCCAUCAAGGCGACGAUCAGUAGCUGGUCUGAGAGGAUGAUCAGCAUCACUGGGACUGAGACACGGCCCAGACUCCUACGGGAGGGAGCAGUGGGGAAUAUUGCACAAUGGGCGAAAGCCUGAUGCAGCAACGCCGCGUGAGCGAUGAAGGCCUUUGGGUCGUAAAGCUCUGUCCUUGGGGAAGAAACAAAUGACGGUACCCAAGGAGGAAGCCCCGGCUAACUACGUGCCAGCCGCCGCAGUAA
rnacentral:rRNA from 1 species